rnacentral:rRNA from 1 species
CCUACGGGUGGCUGCAGUGGGGAAUAUUGCACAAUGGGGGAAACCCUGAUGCAGCGACGCCGCGUGAGUGAAGCAGUAUUUCGGUAUGUAAAGCUCUAUCAGCAGGGAAGAAAAUGACGGUACCUGAUUAAGAAGCCCCGGCUAACUACGUGCCAGCAGCCGCGGUAAUACGUAGGGGGCAAGCGUUAUCCGGAUUUACUGGGUGUAAAGGGAGCGUAGACGGCAGCGCAAGUCUGGAGUGAAAUGCCGGGGCUUAACCCCGGAACUGCUUUGGAAACUGUGCAGCUAGAGUGCAGGAGAGGUAAGUGGAAUUCCUAGUGUAGCGGUGAAAUGCGUAGAUAUUAGGAGGAACUCCGAUGGCGAAGGCAGCCUACUAAACUGUCACUGACAUUGAGGCUCGAAAGCGUGGGGAUCAAACAGGAUUAGAUACCCCUGUAGUC